rnacentral:rRNA from 1 species
AUUAUUGGGCGUAAGGGCUCGCAGGCGGUUUCUUAAGUCUGAUGUGAAAGCCCCCGGCUCAACCGGGGAGGGUCAUUGGAAACUGGGGAACUUGAGUGCAGAAGAGGAGAGUGGAAUUCCACGUGUAGCGGUGAAAUGCGUAGAGAUGUGGAGGAACACCAGUGGCGAAGGCGACUCUCUGGUCUGUAACUGACGCUGAGGAGCGAAAGCGUGGGGAGCGAACAGGAUUAGAUACCCUGGUAGUCCACGCCGUAAACGAUGAGUGCUAAGUGUUAGGGGGUUUCCGCCCCUUAGUGCUGCAGCUAACGCAUUAAGCACUCCGCCUGGGGAGUACGGUCGCAAGACUGAAACUCAAAGGAAUUGACGGGGGCCCGCACAAGCGGUGGAGCAUGUGGUUUAAUUCGAAGCAACGCGAAGAACCUUACCAGGUCUUGACAUCCUCUGACAAUCCUAGAGAUAGGACGUCCCCUUCGGGGGCAGAGUGACAGGUGGUGCAUGGUUGUCGUCAGCUCGUGUCGUGAGAUGUUGGGUUAAGUCCCGCAACGAGCGCAACCCUUGAUCUUACUUGCCAGCAUUCAGUUGGGCACUCUAAGGUGACUGCCGGUGACAAACCGGAGGAAGGUGGGGA